UACAGGGGGGGCAAGCGUUGUUCGGAAUUACUGGGCGUAAAGGGCUCGUAGGUGGCCAACUAAGUCAGACGUGAAAUCCCUCAGCUUAACUGGGGAACUGCGUCUGAUACUGGAUGGCUUGAGUUUGGGAGAGGGAUGCGGAAUUCCAGGUGUAGCGGUGAAAUGCGUAGAUAUCUGGAGGAACACCGGUGGCGAAGGCGGCAUCCUGGACCGACACUGACACUGAGGAGCGAAAGCCAGGGGAGCAAACGGG
rnacentral:rRNA from 1 species